rnacentral:rRNA from 1 species
AUACGUAGGGGGCGAGCGUUGUCCGGAAUUACUGGGUGUAAAGGGCGUGUAGGCGGGUUACCAAGUUAUGGGUAAAAACCCAGGGCUCAACCCUGGGCUUGCCGAUAAAACUGGUAAUCUUGAGUGCAGGAGAGGGAAGUGGAAUUCCCGGAGUAGCGGUGAAAUGCGUAGAUACCGGGAGGAACACCAGUGGCGAAGGCGGCUUCCUGGCCUGUAACUGACGCUGAGGCGCGAAAGCUAGGGUAGCGAACGGGAUUAGAUACCCCGGUAGUCCUAGCCGUAAACGAUGGUCACUAGGUGUGGGUGGUGGUCAAGCCAUCCGUGCCGGAGCUAACGCAAUAAGUGACCCACCUGGGGAGUACGGCCGCAAGGCUAAA